UACGAAGGGGGCUAGCGUUGUUCGGAAUUACUGGGCGUAAAGGGCGCGUAGGCGGUGUGUCAAGUCAGGCGUGAAAGCCCCGGGCUCAACCUGGGAACUGCGCUUGAGACUGGCACGCUCGAGUUCGGGAGAGGAUGGUGGAAUUCCCAGUGUAGAGGUGAAAUUCGUAGAUAUUCGCAAGAACACCAGUGGCGAAGGCGGCUCACUGGCCCGAUACUGACGCUGAGGCACGAAAGCGUGGGGAGCAAACAGG
rnacentral:rRNA from 1 species